rnacentral:tRNA from 1 species
GCUCGGUUAGCUCAGAUGGUAGAGCAUUGCACUUGUAAUGCAAAGGUCCGCGGUUCGAUUCCGUGAUCGUGCU